rnacentral:sRNA from 1 species
UGAGAAGAGGAUGUGGGAGCUGGGCUCCGGGACAGUGUCCCAGGCAACAAGCAAGGAGGAGUUUGAGGGGAGGAGCCGUGCUGGGGAACAUUCUUUCCAACUGGCUUGGGUUGCACAGUGAAAAUGAAGCCCCACCCCUCCCAGCCUCCCUGGGAGACAAAGCCCCGCCUCUGUCCGGCUACCUGGGAGAUGAGGCCCCGCCCUCUCUGCCUUCCUGGCGAUGAGGUCCCACCCCUUUUAUACUCCCUGGGAGAUGAGGCCCCGCCCCUCUUAAACUCUGGGAGAUGGAGCCCUGCUCCGUCUUCCUGGGAGAUAGGGCCCCACCGCCUGCCUUCCUGAGACAUGAAGCCCCUCCCCUCUGAGGAUCCUCUACACCACAUACUACGAGUCCAUCAGCAACAGGGGCCCCUUCUUCGGCUACUACUUCUUCAACGGGCUUCUGAUGCUGCUGCAGC